GAUGAACGCUGGCGGCGUGCCUAAUACAUGCAAGUCGAGCGAACAGACAAUGAGCUUGCUCUUUUGACGUUAGCGGCUGACGGGUGAGUAACACGUGGAUAACCUACCUAUAAGACUGGGAUAACUUCGGGAAACCGGAGCUAAUACCGGAUAAUAUAUUCAACCGCAUGGAUCAAUGGUGAAAGACGGCUUUGGUGUCUCUUUUAGAUUGUUCCGCGCCGAAUUUUCUAGUUGGUAAGGGAACUGCUUAACAAGGCAACGAUUCGUAUCCGACCUGAGGGGGUGAUCAGCCAAACUGGAACUGAGACACGGUCCAGACUCCUACGGGAGGCAGCAGAGGGGAAUAUUCGGAAAUGGGCGAAAGCCUGAGGGAGCAAGGCCGCGUGGGUGAUGAAGGUCUUCGGAUCGUAAAACCCUUUUAUUGGGAAAGAACAGAAGUGUAAGAAAAUAGGCAUGUCUUGACGGUACCUAAUCAGAAAGCCACGGCUAACUACGUG
rnacentral:rRNA from 1 species